rnacentral:rRNA from 1 species
GGAAUCGCUAGUAAUCGUAGAUCAGCAUGCUACGGUGAAUACGUUCCCGGGUCUUGUACACACCGCCCGUCACACCACGAGAGUUUGUAACACCCGAAGCCGGUGGAGUAACCAUUUGGAGAGCUAGCCGUCGAAGGUGGGACAAAUGAUUGGGGUGAAGUCGUAACAAGGUAGCCGUAUCGGAAGGUGCGGCUGGAUCACCUCCUUU